GCCCGGUUAGCUCAAUCGGUAGAGCGUGAGACUCUUACGAGCGUAUACAAUCUCAAGGUUGCGGGUUCGACCCCCGCAUCGGGCU
rnacentral:tRNA from 1 species